rnacentral:rRNA from 1 species
GCAGCUGCGAUCGCUAGUCGAGCAGGUCUUGACAUCCCGUUGACCACUGUAGAGAUAUAGUUUCCCCUUCGGGGGCAACGGUGACAGGUGGUGCAUGGUUGUCGUCAGCUCGUGUCGUGAGAUGUUGGGUUAAGUCCCGCAACGAGCGCAACCCUUGAUCUUAGUUGCCAUCAUUUAGUUGGGCACUCUAAGGUGACUGCCGGUGACAAACCGGAGGAAGGUGGGGAUGACGUCAAAUCAUCAUGCCCCUUAUGACCUGGGCUACACACGUGCUACAAUGGACGAUACAAACGGUUGCCAACUCGCGAGAGGGAGCUAAUCCGAUAAAGUCGUUCUCAGUUCGGAUUGUAGGCUGCAACUCGCCUACAUGAAGCCGGAAUCGCUAGUAAUCGCGGAUCAGCAUGCCGCGGUGAAUACGUUCCCGGGCCUUGUACACACCGCCCGUCACACCACGAGAGUUUGUAACACCCGAAGUCGGUGAGGUAACCUUUUGGAGC